UACGUAGGGACCAAGCGUUGUUCGGAUUUACUGGGCGUAAAGGGCGCGUAGGCGGCGCGGUAAGUCACUUGUGAAAUCUCUGAGCUUAACUCAGAACGGCCAAGUGAUACUGCAGUGCUAGAGUGUGGAAGGGGCAAUCGGAAUUCCUGGUGUAGCGGUGGAAUGCGCAGAUAUCAGGAGGAACACCAAUAGCGAAGGCAGCUCGCUGGGACGUUACUGACACUGAGGCGCGAAAGCGUGGGGAGCGAACAGG
rnacentral:rRNA from 1 species